GGAGGGGGUGGCGGACGAGGGGGGAUGGAGAAGAACAAAACCCAGUGGCCACAUCCUUGAACUCUUUUGUGUGUUUAGAACAAUGUCCAGUUAAAAUCAAACAAUAUUGCUGCUAAAUGCGUCUAAAAUAGUCCUUGCUAUUCAGAUGGGCAUGAAUUGGUUCUGAUUGCUGUUUUUAAGAUGUGGCCUGACUGUCAAGCCUUCAGAGAACAGGCAGCCUCUUCUGGGGGAAGCCUUCAACCCUGUGCAUCCCACAAUCUGGAGACACUGUUGGCUGACUGUGACUUACCACCAGACAAAUGCCCACCAGAGGACAGUCUCCUUGGCAUCUGUGUAACCUCAAAGCCCAGCACGGUGUCCAACACUCAGUGGUUUCUACAAUGCAUGUUUAACUGAGCAGAGCUGAACUAGUGCUCCCAGGGAACUGACUGAUGGAAGUCUGUCUUAAAAGCUGAGCUCUAUAAUUUUGCAGCUGUUUGCCCUUGGAGACGUCAUUUAACUUCUCUGUCUGGGACUCUGGCAAUAUAAGGAAAGUGCCAUAAUAUUAAUCUGAACAAGUGCCCAGGCAACUCUUAAGUUUAACAGCAGUAUCAUAUCGCCAUUUAGUGUGCACACUUCAUUCUCUUAUAUACCUGAGAGAGAUUAUUUUAAAAUCUCUCAUGUUAAUCAAACCACAUUUCCUGAUCUAGAUAAAAAAGGUUUCAGAGUUUAAUUACACAAAAAGUAGGUAAUGUUGCAUGAAGAUUUACAAAGAAGCCAAGAUUUUUUUUUUCUUUUUAAAGUAUGACUAGGUAAUAAUAGAUAUAAGCAUAUUUUUCUCAUUCCUAAUACAUGUUUUAUUUGGAUGGUGUGCUGUGAUAUUUGAGGAUUUGGGACACACUCUUUUAGUGUAGGUUGCAAGAAAACUGUGAAACACAGACGCCAACAGUAGGUGAAGUCAGAAGAUCUUCUGUGUUAAUUUCUGAAAUGUCUAGCAGUGGGCCAUUCUUUGACGGUAGCCUGAUAUCUGAUAAAGAUAACAUUCUGCCACUGGCCAUGUGAGGAGCAAUUCCCAGCCAGGGGAAGGACUCCAAGUCCCCAAAUCUUUCUUAAAAUUUUAGAUUGAGAAUUGACAGAAAACAUAUAAACUCAGAUAAAUAGGCAAAGGUAUUGAACAGACUAUUCAUAACUGUACUUAUGACCACAAUAAAAAUAGAAGCAAUAUAAAUUUGGGUAAAAUAAUUAGAUAUGUAUUUGGGGCCUAUGAAAUCACAAACUACAUCUAAAAUUUAAUUAGAAUGAUAGGUGAUUUUUGUUUUCUUAUUUGCAUUUGUCACAUUUUAAAAAAUACUGCAUAGGUAUUACUUUUAUAACCACCCAAUAGUAUUUGAGAAUAUGCUCUAAAACAAAUGAGCCCAGUUCAUUUUAUUCAUGUUCAGGAAGCUAAAGUCAGCCAGUGGAAACAGUGCAGUGAGGUGGCUGUGACUGGUUUUAUUUGUACUUGCCACUUACUCUGCAGAUACCAUGGAUUGGCAGGCAUAGCUCUUAUUUUAUCAGAUAGAAGAGAAAUGGGAAAUGACACAGAAUUCCCACACAUGGGAAGGGGGCAUUUUUUAAUUGAGCAGAUACUAUAUCCUGUAUGUUAUGCUCAGUACUUUACACCUAUAUCUCAUGCCAUCCUUAAAUGACACAGAGUGGGGCCUUCCAACUGGAAAGAAUGCUGCAGUACGAUGGCUGAUAAGCAGAAAACAACAUACAACAAAGCUUGGCAUUAAAAUUACUUUCAGAAGAUAUGGUAAAACUGCUUUUUUUGGGUCUUGGAUUGUUAGUAGAGCCUCAAAGUUUAAUAACCAAGACCCAGGUGCCUAAUUUGCCCCACUGGGUCCUGUCACUGACUCACUGGAUGACCUUAGUGAAAUCGUUUUCCAUCUGUGAGUGUGUUUCCUUGCUGUGAAGAUGAAACUAAAAAUAAAUACUGCCUUCAUCAUGGGUUAUGGUAAGGACUAGCUGAGUAAUGUUUACUAAGAAAUUGCAACUUUUUCAAGCAAAAGGGGGAGAACAAAAUGCCUGUUUCAUCAUAUAGGAAACCUGUUUGGGAGUUUUGUGACCCUAAAGUGAUAUAAAUAAAAUAGAGGACUUUUUUUCAACCUCCUUUGUUAGAGUAUGAGACAAAACUGGCUGAAUUCCGGUGUUCUUUGGUGCUGGCUAAGAACAGCUUGGUUGCCCAUGAGCAGCGUGGUCAGAGGCUGGUUCCUGGUGGCAGGGUGCAUUCUGGAGAAAGCAGUCUCCUCCAGCCUGAGCUGUGCUCCCCCACGGGACUGAGUCACUCAGGCCACCCAGUCUCUCUCUCCCAAAGCUUCCAAAGCUCACUCUCUUCCAGGUGCUAAGUCCACCAUCAAUUUUUCUUUGACUAGUCUAGUUUUGUAAGUGGCAGGUUUUCUGAUUUUAAACAGAAAAAUUCUGCCUCCCUUGCAUUAUUUUUUAAAUAUAAUUUUAUUCUUCU